UAGUGGCCGGUAUUGGAUAACCUAAUAAUGUUGGUGCACUAUACAUGUACGGUACACUAUGAGAUGUGGCUACGUAUUACUCUAUACGGCAUGAUUGUCGCAGUUGAGCAAGUUUAUUUGGUAACUAAACGCGAAUCACUGCUUUUCGAACACAAUUGCCACCGAGGUCGCAAGCAACCUACACAACGAAAUGGUGAAUGCUACAUAUGAUCACAAGAUAUGUGCUCUUAUCAGGCAGCCAAUCUAUGUCCAAGGCAUUCUGGUGUAGUGUAUCAUAGUAUUCAUAGUAUCAACCGAGCACACUGAUUGAUUGGUCGCCUAAUGGUUAAAUUCCAGUAAGUACGGAAUAUCGUCAUUGUCAGCGUAGAUGUCAGCCAACCACAGCCUCAAUUCCAGUGUAUCUGGUUACCAGCUGCCAUAAUGGGGAUAGUUCGUCGUGUCGUGAACUACCUCCAUACAGAUGCUUUUGUUGAAAUGAAAUUCAUCGUUGUCGACGUAGCUCGGUACCACCACUACAUAGUACAUACUACAAACAGUGCUCCCUCCCGUACUACAGAGGACAACCCGUAGAGUCAGGAUAAAGAUCCCUGUCGAAGCCCAGCUGAACUGGUGGUAGUGGCUUUGUGCCAUACUUAUCUGGUACCGGGGGCUCCCCGGUCACUUCGUAUGCCUUGCUGCAUGUCACGGUUAUGGCUUUCUGAGGGUCGGUGGAAGAUACGUCGUAUACCAACGCGUACCGACGGUCCGGCAGACACGAUGCGCAUGAUUCUGCUGUGACACAGCAUGUGGUUAUUCAGCUCAUGCUAUCGUGGUCAAUUUUCAUCCGAAGGCGUGCAUGACAAAAGAGAAAAAGAAAAAUCAUCGGAUGACCAGAGUCCCACCGCAUCGACUGUUACUGGGCGAGGCAUCUAAAACGGGGAGGAUCCUGAAACACGCUUCAAUCUUGGCACUUUUCCGGUCUAGCCAGAGCAGGUUAGUUCAGCUCGUGGAGUUGGUGAUUUAGGGCUUUCAGCCCGAUUGGGAAUGGCCACAGUGUCCGGAGUACCUCCAUCUGAGUCUUGUGAAAUGCUCAUUCGGCGCCCUUGGGUCAUAUCGAGUGCUUCUAGAGUAGCAUUCUCGGUUCUCUCGAAUGGAAUUUCCUCUGUUGGCACCUGCCAACUAUCCUUUCUAUUGGCCAGACUGUAUUGCUCCGAACAUGGAUAUCGGUCUCCUUUUCUCGAGUUAGUAGUCAUUCUCCGGCUAUUCUUUCUUUUUCUUGUCUUCCAUACUGCCUCAUCUGCCCCUUUCUUGUUGCUUGGCCCGUCCAACUACUGACGUGAAAGUGGACAUUGGAAUGCAUUCACCUCAUUUACUCUGUAGUAGUAUAUGCUGCCUCGUACUCGGUCGGAGGACUUCGGAUUUUACUCUGUAAUACAGAAUGUUGAAUGAGUAGAUAGUGAAAGUAAAUGUGGCAGCGUGGCUGAACUGGGGUUCGUUCUACUCCGUAUAACAGUACUCUUAUGUAACUACAGAGUACCAGGGAAUUGAAGUCUUCCUUUCCUAACUCAAUUCGGCAUGCACAAGGAACUGAGUAAAUUAAAUGCGAAAAUUUUUCCUUUCCCCGUCGACAUUUCUAUAUAUCAAAAUCAAAUUUGCUUGGAUCUCUACUGACCAGACAGGUGAGUCUUGGUGAUAGUUGUACAGCUGUUCAAUUGGGUACCGUUCAAGUGUCCUACGGAGUAGAGAGAUCUGUGCGGCUGAUUAGCCACUUUCUCCGAGUUUUUCGAUCCACAAGCCAUGCUAUUAAGCCUUAAUAAAGGAUGACAAGAAAGAAUGGAGUGUCUGCUCCGGAGCAUAUUACAAAAGACACCACACUGUGGGUGGCUACACCCUGCAAGGGCUUACAGCUCGUUGGGCACAAGUAUUGAUAGACACCCAGGAACGCUGCUAUACAAUUCGGGUUACAGCUCGAUCUACAUUUGUUUCCGUAGUCAAUCCUUGUUUCAUUGAUAGAUGGCAGAAUGCGAGAUAGCAUUCCAUAAGCUUCAUUAAAUAUUCCAUUCUCAAAUAUUGAGAGCUCUUUCUCAAUUUAACUAUCCAUCAACAAAAUGCCGUCAUUGAAAGAGCCCAACUCGAUGCAAUCAAAUUGA
rnacentral:lncRNA from 1 species